UAGGGAAUCUUCGGCAAUGGACGGAAGUCUGACCGAGCAACGCCGCGUGAGUGAAGAAGGUUUUCGGAUCGUAAAGCCCUGUUGUUAGAGAAGAACGUUGGUAGGAGUGGAAAAUCUACCAAGUGACGGUAACUAACCAGAAAGGGACGGCUAACUACGUGCCAGCAGCCGCGGUAAUACGUAGGUCUCGAGCGUUGUCCGGAUUUAUUGGGCGUAAAGCGAGCGCAGGCGGUUCUUUAAGUCUGAAGUUAAAGGCAGUGGCUUAACCAUUGUACGCUUUGGAAACUGGAGGACUUGAGUGCAGAAGGGGAGGGUGGAAUUCCAUGUGUAGCGGUGAAAUGCGUAGAUAUAUGGAGGAACACCGGUGGCGAAAGCGGCUCUCUGGUCUGUAACUGACGCUGAGGCUCGAAAGCGUGGGGAGCAAACAGG
rnacentral:rRNA from 1 species